UACAGAGGGGGGCAAGCGUUUAUUCGGAAUUAUUGGGGCGUAAAGGGCGCGUAGGCGGCUUGGCAAGUGGAUGGUGAAAUCCCUCGGCUUAACCGAGGAACUGCCGUCCAAAACUGCUUCGCUUGAGACCGGGAGAGGUGAGUGGAAUUCCCAGUGUAGCGGUGAAAUGCGUAGAUAUUGGGAGGAACACCAGUGGCGAAGGCGGCUCACUGGACCGGUACUGACGCUGAUGCGCGAAAGCGUGGGGAGGCAAACGGGG
rnacentral:rRNA from 1 species